UACAAAGGUCCCAAGCGUUGUUCGGAUUCAUUGGGCGUAAAGGGUGCGUAGGUGGCGCGCUAAGUCAGGUGUGAAAUUUCGGAGCUUAACUCCGAAACUGCAUUUGAUACUGGCGUGCUUGAGGACUGGAGAGGAGACUGGAAUUUACGGUGUAGCAGUGAAAUGCGUAGAGAUCCGGAGGAACACCAAAGGCGAAGGCAGUGUCCUGGGGAGUACCUGACGCUCAGGUGCGAAAGCCAGGGGAGCGAACGGG
rnacentral:rRNA from 1 species